UACGGAGGGUGCAAGCGUUGUCCGGAAUCACUGGGCGUAAAGGGCGCGUAGGCGGCUCAUGAAGGCUGUGGUGAAAGUCCGGGGCUCAACCUCGGAUCGGCCGUGGCGACUCGUGGGCUGGAGCACUGUAGAGGCGGGUGGAAUUCCGGGUGUAGCGGUGGAAUGCGUAGAGAUCCGGAAGAACACCAGUGGCGAAGGCGACUCUUUGGCCUGUAACUGACACUGAGGCGCGAAAGCGUGGGGAGCAAACAGGG
rnacentral:rRNA from 1 species